rnacentral:misc_RNA from 1 species
ACUAAGUUGACAGCUGCGAUUCAGCUGAAGGCCUGAUAAACUACGGGACACAGUGACGCAUACAUAAUACGCAAACACUUAACUCCUACGGAGUAAUAGGUGGCGUGUCGGAAGCUACGUUUGUGAUCAGAUUAGAUUACAUUCAAUUUUCAUUCCAUAGAUCCAAAAAUGAGAUGAUUCUCGUGGGUGUGGAACAAGUCAGUUUCUGCAUGCCAUUCUUGACAUUCAUCAGUACGGACAAUACUAACAAUGCCUGCAAGAAUCUCUGACUUCCUCAUCACCAGAAUUUUCAAACUGCAAGGCAUCUGAAGGCAGACAGGGCAGAAAAAUGGCUUCACAACCUGAGCAUAGUGGUGGUUGCCAUACGGCUAGUGAAGACGUCAAAGUGUGUCGGAGCAGUGCACCACCCGAACUGCCUCCUCCCAUUGCCAGUUCUGCUUCGCAAAAUGUUGGGCACACGCAUUCCCAUUCAGAUGUAUCAGAUACUAAUUUGAACACUCAGCAGUUGGAAAUUGCAGUUUCUGAUGCAGCUGAUGGCACAGUGCGUGACACCUGGUGUCCAAGCAUUGAUGACUUACCAGAUGAGAUUCUGAUAAAGAUCUUCUCUUACAUGUCUUUCAGUGAACUCGUAGAUGUAGUACAGAAAGUGUGCUCUCGUUGGAGAAGGCUGUCCCAAGAUUUGGAGUUGUGGGCUGACAAGGAGUACCAUAUCAGAGACUCGAGUGCGAUAGAUUCAGAUAGCUGUAAGGGUGGCACGACUGACCGGGAGGCAAUACAGACCUUCUGCGACACCCCGAACCUGCGAAUUGUGUGCAUGCGGCGUGGUGCCACGUCCCGUGUCUUCCGUGCUCUCUAUAACAAUUGCCAGAAGCUCUCGGAGCUGCAGAUGCACGUCACCCAGAAACUCAGCUACUCUGUGCUGAAGAAUUUGGUUGAGAAGUGCUCCAGAAUACACACGCUGAGAAUACCCAGUGAACUGCUGAAGUCGGAGAAAUUUUCGGAGGCAGUGUCUCAUCUGCAGCACCUCCGUGUGCUGAAUGUAGUCCUACGCUUCACAAAAAGCACUCCCGUACUGCGACCCUUGGGGGACGGGUGCCCGCAACUGGCCGAGGUCGACUUGAGAUCCACAGUUGUCGAUAUGGACGAUCUGAGGUGCUUUCUGAAUGCCAAGAGGAACACCCUUAAGUCCAUACGCAUAAAAUGGACAAUGGCUGGAAAAAAGUGUGUUCUACCAUUGCUGACAGUCUGUGCCGACAGCUUGGAAUGUCUGCAACUUUACGGUUACGACAUAGUCCGCGACGAUGCGAGGGAGGCUUUUACUGCCCUGGGACGUCUGAAGAACUUGAAGGUACUUAAGAUGGCGAUCAUCAAACCGGCACCACCCGGCACAGCCGCUCUGGCGUUUAUGGACGGUGGACUGCCAAAACUGAGGCUUCUGGACCUACGAGGAGGCUACGGUCUGGACGACGACACAGUAAUUGCCAUCAGCCGCGGGUGCCCCGCUUUGCGGGAACUCAUUGUCAGAGGUUGUCAUUUGCUAUCUGAUGCCGCCUUCUCUCAGAUCUACCAUCUGGAACAGCUUGAAAUACUGGACGUAUCACGCUGCAGAGGUCUCGACGGAGCCCUGGUCCCCUACCUCGCUGGGUUACCACGACUUCACACAUUGCUUAUGGAAAAUAUGGAUUUUCCAAAGUUGCAACCAGAUCUAGAUUUCAGUUGAUAGUGCAGCUAUCAUCGGUGUGUUAUAAGUAGUCACGAAGACUAAACAUAAUUACGACUACACACAUUGCAGUCGAACUUGGGCACGUACGAGCAUUAAUCCGACUGACGUCAGGCUAUCCUACCGUAUCACAGUCUGGGCAAUGUGUGGUCACAUACCAGUUCUGCUGUAAAUUUGGCGCAGCCUGUUACCUGGGAAUUACAAGUAGUCAGCUGUACAUGCAAAUGAAUGGCCACCAUCAACUGCAUUCUAGAGCAAAAAUUUGGACAAGGUGGUCCACAGGAGUAACAGCAAUCUGGGACCUAAGUAUUGCCUGGUGUCGAGGUGACCUUAAAGCUACAGAUGGGCUGGCCGAACGGAUGCCCAAUCUUGAAAUCCAUGGCAAAGCUGAAGUAGAGGAACCUACUAUAGGCACGGAGGAACACGAGAGUGGGG